UAAUUUGCUUGAAGCUCAUUAAGUGUGAACAGGAAAUUCAAAAGAAUCAUAAGAAAAAACUCCCAUUCCUGGCAAAAAUUGCUGCUUGCAUAGGUUACUUACCACCCGUCACUGAUACGGUAAAAGAGUUGCGAGUGACAGGCCUCUUUGCCAUGGCAGUGGUUUUUUUUGUAACCUUGCUAACAAUGCUUCCAAUGCUGGCAACAUUAUAAUCUGCGACAAUAACACAAGCAAACAUUCGGUCGGUCGCAAACAAACACACGAACAAACAUACGAUGAUUUGUUGACACGAACAACGGAGUACCGCUAUAAGAAGCUAGUCACUGAGCACAUCGUUCUUGGAGUUAUACAUAUGGCACGAGUGUAACACAUCCACGUUUUUAUUUCUCACAUUAUAUUUUGAGCUGCCAGUCUAAUUUAACACGUCAUAGAGUCACAAAUAAGAACGUUUGAAUGCGUAUGCUCUUAAAGCCCGUAACGGCAAAUGCAUCAAUGCCAUAAUAAGGAGGUUUUUUAGCUCUAACUCCCUGUCCUUCGGAAGGACAAAUGUCAAUUCUGGCUCACUGGUUACUAUUACAUCAGUGAACAAUCUGAUUGGUGUAAUAUUUGUUAUCUCUCGGAAAAUAAAAAGGGACCAGAUGAAAAAGUUCUCUCUAGUCGUAAUUGGUACAAAUCAAAACCACUAGAGGAACAGAUUGAGUUUGCAAUAAACUUCUGCGCUAGGUUGUAAAAACUUCCCUCACUACAAUUAAUGGUUAUUAACUUUUUAUCAAAUCUACAUUGCUAGUGAGCCUAAUUGGUUUUAAGACUAAAGAAAAUUAAAUUGUUAUAAUUUCCCUAUGGUCUAAAUGGAAGAUCAUUUCAUUAAAAUAACUGAACAUUGUUGUUAAAAGCAAAAGCGGGACAAAGAUCAAAAAAAGAAGGAACCAGAUAAUAAAGUUCUCUCUCUCGGCGCAACUGGUACAAAUCAAAACUUCUAGAGGAAUAGAUUGAUUUUGCAAUGAACUUUUGUGCCGAGUUACGUGCGGUAUGACAACAAGCCCUCGAUAUACACAUGCCCAUAUUGUUUCGUAUCGGCAGGUCAAAGCUCGUUUUAACCAUUGAUUAAUCAUUCUUUAACUCAGUCAAAACAAUGACUACGACAGUCAACCUAAGCGACUCGGAAUGAGUCCCGAUAAAUCAUAUACACUUUGGCCAAUGUGCCAAUUGAAAAUAACAGAUAAAUGAAAUAAUCGGGGUGAGGCUGAAUGAAAGUGAAGGCCUCGGGGCGAUCGUCUUUUUUCUGCAACUUGAUCAGGACAUUCUUUCUGUCAUUAAAGAGUGCGUCGACAGUUUGCUGGGCAUUAGGUCUUCGAGCAAUGCUACGAGGAAGAAAGUUGAAGCCGCGAUUGUGUACGCCAAUGAAUCCAGUCUACAUCUUGCAGUACACUAAAAUGGGUUCAAUGUUGGGCAAGGGCUUGAUUUGGAAACGCCGCACGGUGACUUAGGCAAGAGACUGUUGCAGCUCCUGGGAAACUAAAUCUAUAACUUCGCAUAUGAUCAGUCAUGAAUUGGUAUGAUUCAUCUUCUCUUUGAUGAAAUAAGAAGAUAUUCCAAGGACGUCAUAAAGACAGGAAGAUUUUGAUUCCACAAAUAAAGAAUCACUCCAAACGAUACUAUAACACCGAUUCAAAGUUCCGCUCAAGAAUCAAAGGAACGAAAACUUCAUUUGGAGAGUAGAAGCCGGGAACACGUUGUAUAUUUUCACAUUUUCUAUCUAUGAGUAAAAAGAGAAAUAACGUAAAACUUCUCAAUAUUCUAUGGAUCUAAAUCAACCUCCCACGUGUCUCUUAAAAAGAAUAUGGAGGGACAACAACAACUUUUUGUGGCUGAAAAUGGGGAAGUGGGUGAAUAAAUUGAUUGGCUAAUCAAUCAUUGUUUCAGUUAACGAUUGUUAAGAUGAACUUGGGUUGAUAUUCGUUAACCAUGCUGUGUGAAAAGUUUUAGAAAUGUUUUUAUUUUUGAUCUAAAGAUGUUGACAGCUUUGAGCUCGCAUUAGCGGUGGUUGUUUUGUUGAAGUGAAUUUAUUUUGAUCAUAAGAUCUAACAAAAGUCUCUAAAGUGGAAUUCGCUUAGGCUGUCAGUAGCCUACAAGUGUACGGUUCAGAGACUGAAUUGCAAAUUAGAUUGGAAACAACUGAUUGUUCUUGUCGUCUGUCUUUGAAUGGGUAACCUAGAAAUGUAGGACUCACCUAACUUUUCUCUUGCUUUACUUUCAGGCUAUCAGGAGGUCUCCUCUGAACCUAGCAAAUAACAACAGUGGGCACGACUAUAGAUAAACGAAAUAAAUUAAAAUGCUAAAUACGGAAAACCACUUAGAUGAAAUCAUCUCUUUUCUAUCGACAAUGGACAACGGAUGUCAUAAAAAAGGAAGAGAAAAGAAAAAAAAAAACUCGAAAAUGUGAUUACUUGUACGAUUUUAGCCAUAUUAGUGUCCUUUGCAACCAAUUCAUAGCUCAAUAUUGGAAGUUAGCCGAGGAACGGUACUCAAAUCCAAAAUGAUUUUAAGCUUUGACGUAAAUCAGUCGAAAGAACGCAUUCAUUUUGAAGCACUUGUCGGUUGACCUUAACUUUCCCUAGAAUCUUCUUUAAGUCAGAGUCCUAAAAAUAUCUCUUUUACAUAGCAAAGUCAAUGUCAUAUAACUCGGCAAGAAUUAUUACGGCUCCUCCGCGGGUAGUUUUCGCUUCUGAAUCAUUGACGCAAGCGAUUGUUAUCCUAGAUGUGGAAAAUACAGCCUUUUCCAAGUUUUCAUCAUUCUUUUAACCUAUUACAGAUUUGUGAUUAUUUAAAGUUAGUGAUGAUAUUAGCGGAGUGGGUUAACUACCGGAACUGCUGUUUCAAAAAGAGGCUGUGAUAAUCAAUACCGGAUACAGUAGAAUUUUGCCAAUGCAAGCAUCUGAAGAAUUCGUUUAAAUGUUUAAAUAAGUUAUCUACUAUCAGGUUAGCUCACUCGACUUGCAAGCAUCCCCAACUGUUUUUUUUUUCUCUUUUAAUAAGCGACCUUUUAUUUUGUAUCAAGUUUUACGUGCGGAAUAACAACAAGCCCUCAAUAUACAUAUGCCUAUAUAGCAGUGCUCUACAGCCUGGCCUAGUUCCUGGUUACAGCAUCUUUCGGACGUAUACAAUUCCCACAAAACAAACCACUGAAACACACUUAAUCCUAGUGGUGAUACUAGCGGGAUAGUUUACCCACCGGAACAUCUUUUUUUUUUUUUAAAAAAAAAGGUUGUGAUAAUCAGUGAUAUGGUAGAACUGUAAGCAUCUUGAAGUGUUUUCUUCUCCUUUUUUUUAUAGGUAGCGUUUCACUUUGGAACAAGUUUUACGUGCGGAAUGACGAAAAACCCUCAAUAUACAAACAUGUAUGCCUAUAUCAUUUUUUAUCAGCUGUUCAAAGCUCAUUUUCAGUAAAAAUUGAGACUAUGACGGUCGAUCCAAGGGACUCGAAAUGAGAACCGAUAAAUCAUAUGCAUAUACUUUGCAAUUCGAGGUUGAAGUUGAUGAGGCUUCUUCUUGGUUCCACCAAAUAAGGGAAAAUUGAACGAAACAAAGGUAUUGAUCGGUUCUGUCCAGACGAUGUUGUUGACGAUGGAAGAAGAUUUGAAUAUAUAGUCGCCGGAAGUACUUUUAUUUGAA